AACGUAGGUGGCAAGCGUUAUCCGGAAUUACUGGGCGUAAAGGGUGUGGCAGGCGGGGAAGCAAGUGGUGUAUGAAAUCUCCCAGCUUAACUGGGAUAGGUUAUGCCAGACUGCUUUUCUAGAGGACGAGAGAGGGGGGUGGAAUUCCGGGUGUAGUGGUGAAAUGCGUAGACGAUCCGGAGGAACCCCAGAGGCGAAGGCGGCCCCCUGGCUCGUACCUGACGCUCAGCCACGAAAGGACAUGGGGGAGCGAAACGGG
rnacentral:rRNA from 1 species